rnacentral:lncRNA from 1 species
CACAGUUUAUUUGUUUAUUACUUAAUGUACAUUAUAAAACUUGCACAUUUAGUUUUUUAUAUAACAAUAUUCAAUUGGUCAUGACACAAUUUAAUAAAAAGCAAUUAGGUUUAAAGAUAUAUAAUAUAAAUCUGAAAACUAAAUAAACCUAAAUAAAAUUACAGUGAAAAGUAUAUAUCUCAGAUGGGAAGAAAUAAUGCUGCAAGUACACUAAAAAUUCAAAUAUAUACAAAUAUGGUUGUUAUAUUAUUUUAUUGACAAACAAAAAUGAGGGCAAUGUAAUUGCAAAGACAUGCAAAGGUCAGUUCUACGUGCAUUUUCAAGACUAUUUCAUAAUUUGUGUUUACAUUCUACAUUAUUACUAAACUUCAAAAUAACAGCAGAAGCACCAUGAGUGUAUUAAACAAAUUAUAAUUUAAUGAAUUUAUGUUCAUUACUAGAAAGCAAAAUGUAAUUUGCAUAAAUGUCAUUUUUUCAAUUGCUGCUGUGACCUUAAAAUCAAAAGGGUCUUAUUCAUCUCAAGGCAUGUUAUACCAAAGUUUGGUAAGACAUAAAAGGAUUUUCCAGAUUUUAUAGGAUCUUUGAAGAUGACCUUCAAAACCCUGAAAUCAAUAAGGUUCAUGUUCAUUCUAAAAGAUAUUUUCAAACAAACAUUUGAUGAAUGUUUAACAUGGGUUCACAAUAGACGAGUUUUCAAUUUCACUUUUAAAAGUAUAGGUCCUGAUGAGUAACACAUUGCAGGACAAUGUGACAUAAACAUAUUUUCUGCUGUGUGAUGUAAAUUUUUUCCAGGGAAAAACACCAGUUGGAAGAGAAUAAGUAUAUAUCCAUAUAUAUUCCUUAAAAAAAUUGACUAAUUAUUCUUUUGAUUUCAUGCUCCUUUUCUAUAUUACAUCAAUAAUUAUUUUUGUAACAUUACAUUUAGAUGUAAUUAAAUACACAUGUGACAAACUGUAUCACACUAUCCAUAACACAUCAAAUUGUUUUAUAUUCAAAUACACAAAAACUCCAUCACACUAUCUUUGACACAGUACAGUACUAAUCAUCAUUUUUACCAUGUAUUCAUGUUUGAAUGUUUUUUUAAAUACUAUUCUUAUAUUUAAAAGCUGCAAUGUUGAGUUGAAAAGAACUGGUGUCCAAAAUGUUCAUCCUAUUCAUUCCUUUUUUAAAUAAUAAAAAAACAACAUAAUAAUGUGAUAUGUAUAUAAACCCUGCUUUGUACGAGACUGACAGGCUUGGACAGCUUUCUAAAAAUACCUAGUUCACAAAGUAACAGUCCACAGACUACCACCCUUUGCUUGAACAAUGGAUGGGGUUCUAACCCAUCAACUUCUGUUCUGGAGAUGAGCAAGUUACCACAAGAUUACAGAUACAGUUUGAUGACCUACUGACUGGUCAACUGUGUCAACUAACAUGCAUAAAGACUAUUCGACCACUGUGUCUGAUAACAUGCAGAAAAAUAAGUGUAUAAAUUAACAAAAACAUCAACAAACAAUUUAAACAAAGAUAUAAACAAACACAUAUACAUGUAUGAUAUUAUUAUAUUUCAUAUAAUAUCUACUAAACGGACACUUCAGCAGAUUAGUUUAGAGGCAAACAUAAUUAAAACAAUAAUCUUGUAAAAAAGAACAUUUUACUAGGACUAUAACAUCGAAAGAAAUAAAAUGCAGAGGCUCUAUUAUCUUUUUGGAAAGAAUUUAUAUGAAGUAGAUCAAAUCUCAAGAAUUAAUAUUCAAUUUUGAAUCAUGAUAAGAACAUAUGAUGGAUUCAUCAUUGGUGUUGAAUGCCAUUUUCACCACUGUUGGUUAUAUCAUGGCAUCAAGCUUGAUGUUGAAGAAGCCAGAGAGCCUGGAAUGAACCAAACACUUCAGUAGGAAAACUGACAAUCCUAGUCAAUUACGAUAGCAUUUGAAUGUGUCUAAUUAAGAAGAGUAUGAAUGCAUAAACUCAGUGUUGACAGGCUAGUGUCUACUGUAGACCACUCAGUCACCUAAAUAUACAAAUUCCUAUUUGUCUGGAAUAAAAUUUCUAGGUAUUACUUUUUUUAGUCCUAUUCUUAAAUUGAGGUAACACAAGAAAAUUACAAUCAAUCUGUUUAAGACAGAAAAAAACAUUAUGUAAUGUUUUUAUAACUGACUAGUUUCAUUACUCCAUUUUGAAGACCCAUUCUUCCUCUAAAUAGAAGAGUAAAAUAUCAAAUAUACUGUGGAUUCAUUUAUUUUCGUAGAUACCAAUUUUUGUGGAUUAAGAAAACAUUGUAUUUUCAUGGAUAUUUGAUUUCAUGGUUUUGCCAAAGUCUGCAUAAUAGAAAAAAAUGUACUUGGUUGAUGUUUUAAAGCCACAUAAUUUGGUAACCCACAAACUAUAACGACUACACAGUGUACUG